rnacentral:tRNA from 1 species
GGACCCAUAGCUCAGCUGGAUAGAGCGCUGCCCUCCGAAGGCAGAGGCCUAUUUUUAAUAAUCUGAUUUUA